UUUCCGUUGUUUCAAAAGUACUUGUUUUCUCUAUUUCAAAAAGUCCGCCCAAACGAGGGCGUUGUUUAUGGCGCUCAGCCAGUGGAUCGCCGGAGAUGAGACCGCGGCGGAGAUGCUCGCCAGAGUUUUGAAACAGCGACCCUCCUUGUUCGUUCCGCCUCUCCACAGGCUUCCUCUCCGCGCCGGGAACGUCGUCGAACUUGUUGGACCCUCUGGUUCUGCCAAGACGCAGAUCUUAAUCCAGGCUGCAGUUAAUUGCAUUCUUCCCAAGGAGUGGAACGGGGUCCGCUAUGGAGGCUUGGAGUGUUCAGUGGUGUUCAUCGACUUGGAUUGUCGUCUUGACGUCUCGAGGCUUUCCCAAGUUCUGAAGCUUCGAAUUUUGGAAGCCAAUGGCAAUGGAUUGUCUAACACAAAAGACUGCGAAAAUUUUAAUGCACUAUUUGCGACAUGCAUGAGAAGGUUCCUUUACAUCCGUUGCUAUGACAGUUUUGAGUUUCUUGCCACUCUCAAGACCAUGCACCAUAGACUUCAAAAAGAAAGAGAUGUCCUUGGAAUUGGGGUACAUCUGCUCAUGAUUGACAGCAUUGGAGCUUAUCAUUGGGUUGAUCGCGUCUCCUCAUCCUUGCCUUUGUGGGGUCACAACAGGAAAGGCUUCUCUCUUGCGAAUGUGUUAGAAGCUGUAGUUGAAGAGGUUAGAAAGCUUUUGCUGGUGCAUCCGAGUAUUGCUAUUGCUACCAAAGCAACCAUUUUUGGGGAUAAAUCUUCUGACAUGGUCAGACGUGAAAAGCCUUCAGCAGAGUCAGAAUCAAGAUAUGUGACAACUAGUAGUGGACCACAAGUUCUGUAUCGUGAGUACAUGCCUUUUGCAUGGCAGUCUUUUGUCACGCACAGAGUUUUUGUUCGAGGAUCAGAUGAACAUCUUACAGUGAGCAGUAGUGAGCAUCAAUCAAUAUAUUUUUCUGAAUGGCUUCUACCAUCUCUGGGUUUCUUCGAUAAAUUUAUUGUUAAAAAUGCUGGUGUCUUUAUAGUUCCAUGAACUUCCUUUUUGUACGAUGCUGCUGGCCAUUUGUUGUAAUUCCAGCUCCAAAUAAAGCAAAUUGGCGGAAGGAACUAAAAUAGUAUUUGGUUAAGUUAUCGAGUAAGAACGUACUUAAAACCAAGCUCACUAGAGUUCGUCGUCGCUGCUUGAAGCAAACUCAUUGAAGUUUGUUGUCGUUCACAUGUGCUGCGAAGAAAAGGAAGUUUGGUCGUCAGAAGAAAUGGAAGAUUGGUCGUCGAAAUAAAUGGAAGCAAACUCACACGUCUUCGUCAUUGUUACCACUCGCCGUUGUCGCCUCAAUCCUCGAAAAAAUGGAAGCUUGGUCGUCGGAAGAAAUGGAAGAUCAAUGGUUGCAGAUCGUCGGUAGUCGCUCGUUGCCGCAGGCUGUAGAUCGUCGCCCACUGUUACAAAUCGUCGUCCAUCGCUACAGUCCUUCGUCGUAUGCCAUCGCUGUUGGUCGUUGUCGCCGUCUAUAUAUCAGUAGCUAUUGGGAUCGUGAGUGAAUGUUAAGUUAGGGCUACUUCAUGUUUACAUUGAGUAGAUUUUUUCACAUAUUUCUUUCUAUUAGAUUGUUUGGAACCGGAAGUUGAAAGCCUUUCAAUGGAUUUUCUGAGUUCGGGUUUUUUUUUUUGUUUCCAUUGAAAUCUCAACCUUGUUUCUUUCUAUUGGUUUCUAGAUUUGAAAGAUGAAAUUAAAAGCAACCCGACCUGACCCAAUUUCGGGUUGGGUUGGCUAUCAUGUUCAAUUUCAUCGGGUCUCUGAUCUUAUCAACCCAAAAAAAUCGAGUUGGUCCAAAAAAUCUCCUAAAUCCGACCCAAACUGUGAACACUAUAAACCACAAAG